AGUCCAUGAUGUGAGCACUUCUUUAGCAUUGUCUUGAAUAGUUCCUACGCCUCGUAUAAGGAUUCACCUUUAAAUUGUUUAAAAUUAGCGAUUUCUCGCCUCAAUU
rnacentral:snoRNA from 1 species